AAGUCGUAACAAGGUUUCCGUAGGUGAACCUGCGGAAGGAUCAUUAACACGUAUCCACGUAUCAACCAAUGAGAACCGUUUUCCCGUCUCCCUGUGCAAAGAAUGAAUUGGAACCAGUUUGAGGGAGUGAUGGGACUGAAAAGUCGGCCUUCCUGGUACACUUAUGCAGAUAGAAAUAUUUGCAUAGACAAUUGGAUUUUUGCAGAGGCUAUUUCUUAUCGCUUUGAUCUCCAUCAUGAUCGUGGCGGUAGGGAAACUUUCACUUUAUUUACCUUUUUUGCUAGUUGACUUUUUAUAUGUGUUAUUUUGCGAAAGCAAGGUGGCGCACGUUUAUUAAUUGAACGUUAAAAAAUACAACUCUUAGCAAUGGAUAUCUUGGUUCUC
rnacentral:misc_RNA from 1 species